UGGGGAAUUUUGGACAAUGGGCGAAAGCCUGAUCCAGCAACGCCGCGUGUGUGAAGAAGGCCUUCGGGUUGUAAAGCACUUUUGUCCGGAAAGAAAUCCUUGGCUCUAAUACAGUCGGGGGAUGACGGUACCGGAAGAAUAAGCACCGGCUAACUACGUGCCAGCAGCCGCGGUAAUACGUAGGGUGCAAGCGUUAAUCGGAAUUACUGGGCGUAAAGCGUGCGCAGGCGGUUUGCUAAGACCGAUGUGAAAUCCCCGGGCUCAACCUGGGAACUGCAUUGGUGACUGGCAGGCUAGAGUAUGGCAGAGGGGGGUAGAAUUCCACGUGUAGCAGUGAAAUGCGUAGAGAUGUGGAGGAAUACCGAUGGCGAAGGCAGCCCCCUGGGCCAAUACUGACGCUCAUGCACGAAAGCGUGGGGAGCAAACAGGAUUAGAUACCCUGGUAGUCCACGCCCUAAAACGAUGUCAACUAGUUGUUGGGGAUUCAUUUCCUUAGUAACGUAGCUAACGCGUGAAGUUGACCGCCUGGGGAGUACGGUCGCAAGAUUAAAACUCAAAUGAAUUGACGGGGUCAUAGCUG
rnacentral:rRNA from 1 species